AGUCGAGCGGACAGAUGGGAGCUUGCUCCCUGAUGUUAGCGGCGGACGGGUGAGUAACACGUGGGUAACCUGCCUGUAAGACUGGGAUAACUCCGGGAAACCGGGGCUAAUACCGGAUGCUUGUUUGAACCGCAUGGUUCAAACAUAAAAGGUGGCUUCGGCUACCACUUACAGAUGGACCCGCGGCGCAUUAGCUAGUUGGUGAGGUAACGGCUCACCAAGGCAACGAUGCGUAGCCGACCUGAGAGGGUGAUCGGCCACACUGGGACUGAGACACGGCCCAGACUCCUACGGGAGGCAGCAGUAGGGAAUCUUCCGCAAUGGACGAAAGUCUGACGGAGCAACGCCGCGUGAGUGAUGAAGGUUUUCGGAUCGUAAAGCUCUGUUGUUAGGGAAGAACAAGUACCGUUCGAAUAGGGCGGUACCUUGACGGUACCUAACCAGAAAGCCACGGCUAACUACGUGCCAGCAGCCGCGGUAAUACGUAGGUGGCAAGCGUUGUCCGGAAUUAUUGGGCGUAAAGGGCUCGCAGGCGGUUUCUUAAGUCUGAUGUGAAAGCCCCCGGCUCAACCGGGGAGGGUCAUUGGAAACUGGGGAACUUGAGUGCAGAAGAGGAGAGUGGAAUUCCACGUGUAGCGGUGAAAUGCGUAGAGAUGUGGAGGAACACCAGUGGCGAAGGCGACUCUCUGGUCUGUAACUGACGCUGAGGAGCGAAAGCGUGGGGAGCGAACAGGAUUAGAUACCCUGGUAGUCCACGCCGUAAACGAUGAGUGCUAAGUGUUAGGGGGUUUCCGCCCCUUAGUGCUGCAGCUAACGCAUUAAGCACUCCGCC
rnacentral:rRNA from 1 species